rnacentral:rRNA from 1 species
CGAAGGGUGCAAGCGUUACUCGGAAUUACUGGGCGUAAAGCGUGCGUAGGUGGUGAGUUAAGUCUGUCGUGAAAGCCCCGGGCUCAACCUGGGAAUGGCGAUGGAUACUGGCUCGCUAGAGUGCGGUAGAGGAGAGUGGAAUUCCCGGUGUAGCAGUGAAAUGCGUAGAGAUCGGGAGGAACAUCAGUUGCGAAGGCGGCUCUCUGGACCAGCACUGACACUGAGGCACGUAAGCGUGGGGAGCAAACAGGAUUAGAUACCCUGGUAGUCCACGCCCUAAACGAUGCGAACUGGACGUUGGGAGCAAUCAGGCUCUCAGUGUCGAAGCUAACGCGUUAAGUUCGCCGCCUGGGGAGUACGGUCGCAAGACUG